rnacentral:sRNA from 2 species
CAACCACUUCGUUAGGUGAGGCUCCUGUAUGGAGAUAUGCUGCUGCCCAAAAACGUCCAAAGACGCCAAUGGGUCAACAGAAAUCAUCGACAUAAGGUGAUUUUUAAUGUAGCUGGCAAUGUCCUAUGCCAUACAGUGCUAAAGCUCUACGAAUGAAGGGAAUC